GAAGCUACUGGUGGUCUCUGAGGCACGUGAGACGAAGAGGGUUAGUAUGCCAUUGGUUUUUUUUUUUUUUUUAAAUAAAAUUUAUGGCGAUGAUUUUUCGCCUUGUACAGAUUCCCUUAAUCUUGUUUUUUAUUUAAGUCAGACUCUUGGGAAAGAUAAAGAUAUUAUGGGGGAGGUUUUCAAGACCCAUGAAGCAAUUUAAUCUUUGGACAAGACAAUUUCCACACUUCAGAUGGAGCUGGCUGCUGCUCGGAGUUCUCAGGAGAUGGUAGGCCUUGGCAAUUCUUCUGUAGCCUCGGACUCUUGUGAGGCCACGAGGAAGAAGGCAUUCAUUGUGAUUGGAAUUAAUACCGCCUUUAGCAGCAGGAAAAGGCGGGAUUCAGUCAGAGAGACUUGGAUGCCUCAAGGUGGAUGUUACAUGUGGGAGGGUUGGAGCUGCAUAUUUCAGAUUCAAGCAUCUGG